rnacentral:rRNA from 1 species
AUUGAACGCUGGCGGCAGGCCUAACACAUGCAAGUCGAACGGUAGCACAGAGGAGCUUGCUCCUUGGGUGACGAGUGGCGGACGGGUGAGUAAUGUCUGGGAAACUGCCCGAUGGAGGGGGAUAACUACUGGAAACGGUAGCUAAUACCGCAUAACGUCGCAAGACCAAAGAGGGGGACCUUCGGGCCUCUUGCCAUCGGAUGUGCCCAGAUGGGAUUAGCUAGUAGGUGGGGUAACGGCUCACCUAGGCGACGAUCCCUAGCUGGUCUGAGAGGAUGACCAGCCACACUGGAACUGAGACACGGUCCAGACUCCUACGGGAGGCAGCAGUGGGGAAUAUUGCACAAUGGGCGCAAGCCUGAUGCAGCCAUGCCGCGUGUAUGAAGAAGGCCUUCGGGUUGUAAAGUACUUUCAGCGGGGAGGAAGGUGUUGAGGUUAAUAACCUCA